rnacentral:rRNA from 1 species
UAGGGAAUUUUCCACAAUGGGCGAAAGCCUGAUGGAGCGACGUCGCGUGAUGGACGAAGUGCUUCGGCACGUAAACAUCUUUUAUGUGGGACGAAAUUAUUGACGGUACCACAUGAAUAAGGGGCUCCUAACUCUGUGCCAGCAGGAGCGGUAAUACAGAGGCCCCAAGCGUUAUCCGGAAUCACUGGGCGUAAAGGGUGUCGAGGCGGUCAUGUUAGUCGUUCGUAAAAUCCGUGGGCUCAACCUACGGCCGGCGAGCGAAACGGCAUGACUUGAGGUUGGGAGAGGUGCAUGGAACUCACGGUGUAGGGGUGAAAUCCGUUGAUAUCGUGGGGAACACCAAAGGCGAAGGCAGUGCACUGGCCCAAAUCUGACGCUCACACACGAAAGCUAGGGUAGCGAACGGGAUUAGAUACCCCCGUAGUCCCUGAGCGGGCUGGCAAGGCG